CCCUGCCAUUUGUACACACCGCCCGUCGCUACUACCGAUUGAAUGGCUCAGUGAGGCCUUCGGACUGGCUUGAGGAGGUUGGCAACGACCACCUUGAGCCGGAAAGUUCGUCAAACUCGGUCAUUUAGAGGAAG
rnacentral:rRNA from 1 species